AGCUUUGCAUAGUGGCAGUAUUGUAGCCAAUGAGGUUUAUCCGAGGCACGAUUAUUACUAAUUGAAAACUUCCCAAUACCCCGCCAUGGCGAUUUGAAAUAUAGUCGGCAUUGGCAAUUUUUGACAGUCUCUAUGGAGA